rnacentral:rRNA from 1 species
CAAAGAUUAAGCCAUGCAAGUCUAAGUACACACGGCCGGUACAGUGAAACUGCGAAUGGCUCAUUAAAUCAGUUAUGGUUCCUUUGAUCGCUCUACCGUUACUUGGAUAACUGUGGCAAUUCUAGAGCUAAUACAUGCAAACGAGCGCUGACCUCCGGGGAUGCGUGCAUUUAUCAGACCCAAAACCCAUGCGGGGUUGCCCCUCGGGGCUCCCCGCCCGCUUUGGUGACUCUAGAUAACCUCGAGCCGAUCGCUGGCCCUCGUGGCGGCGACGUCUCAUUCGAAUGUCUGCCCUAUCAAC